CCAGAAUCAUAUGGACCGCAGACUGGCCCUGGUGAUUCCGUUAAAAAAAAAGAGGAAAAAUCAGUGCUUGUGCUCAUUGGUCAUUGGACAAAGGGUGAAUGCCAGAAUUUUUUCAAGAACAGUCUGAAUCUGACAUGGAAAAAUGAAGAAAAACAGCCUUCCUGUUUAUAAAUCUACAUUCUGACAAAGGGUAAGAAAGAAAUUCAGGAGUUCUUAAAUUGCCCUUGGGAUUGCAUCAAACUGCUAAAAGACCUCAACAAAAACAGCGUCUUGAAAAUAAAAAUGAAAAUAUUCAGUGAAAAAAAAAAUGAUGAAAGAGCCACUAAAAAUCUUCAAGCCUUUGAGCUGAAAUCUGGAAGUCAAUCUGUGGACUUCACUAGUAUGUCAUAAUUACUAAGUCAUCAUUUGUGUAUAAUAAAUACACUAAACUGUAAACACUUGUUAAAAUGUGUAUAAUUUUUAGAUAUAAUUUGUAGCUCACAGACUUCAAUAGUUUCAUGUAAUGUAAGUAAUAAUGAAAAUUUCCUGUUGUCUAGCUAGAUUAGAAACUAUUAUUGUCCAAUUUUGGAUAUUGUGAAAUAAUUCAUCUAGUAUGCAUACAUGUGUGUACACUUA